GUGCCAGCAGCCGCGGUAAGACAGAGGAUGCAAGCGUUAUCCGGAAUGAUUGGGCGUAAAGCGUCUGUAGGUGGCUUAAAAAGUCUCCUGUCAAAGAUCAGGGCUUAACCCUGGGCCGGCAGGAGAAACUCUUAGGCUAGAGUUUGGUAGGGGCAGAGGGAAUUCCCGGUGGAGCGGUGAAAUGCGUAGAGAUCGGGAGGAACACCAAAGGCGAAGGCACUCUGCUGGGCCAGAACUGACACUGAGAGACGAAAGCGAGGGGAGCAAAAGGGAUUAGAUACCCCUGUAGUCC
rnacentral:rRNA from 1 species